rnacentral:rRNA from 1 species
UGGGGAAUAUUGCGCAAUGGGGGAAACCCUGACGCAGCCACGCCGCGUGUGUGAUGAAGGCCUUCGGGUUGUAAAGCACUGUCGAGGGGGAAGAAGAAUGACGGUACCCCUCAAGAAAGCACCGGCUAACCCUGUGCCAGCAGCCGCGGUAAUACAGGGGGUGCAAGCGUUGCUCGGAAUCACUGGGCGUAAAGCGUACGCAGGCGGGCGAUUAAGUCGGACGUGAAAGCCCGGGGCUCAACCCCGGAAUUGCGUUCGAAACUGGUUGUCUUGAGUACGGGAGAGGUGAGUGGAAUUCCUGGUGUAGAGGUGAAAUUCGUAGAUAUCAGGAGGAACAUCGGUGGCGAAAGCGGCUCACUGGCCCGAUACUGACGCUCAUGUACGAAAGCGUGGGGAGCAA